CAAUGGGAAAAUAGGGGACACUUGAAGACAUGGGGACACAGACACCAGGGACAAAGAUACUAGAGACACUGGCUGGGGGACAUUGAGACAUGUGGGCACUGAGAGACAUGGGGACACUGAGACACCAGGGCCACAGACACUAGGGACACUAGCUUGGGGACAUUGUGACACUUGAGGCACUAGGAGACAUGGGGACAGUGAGACACUGGCAGACUGGGGGCACUGGGAGACUAGGGGUCACUGGGAGACUAG